UACGUAGGUGGCAAGCGUUGUCCGGAUUUAUUGGGCGUAAAGAGCGCGUGGGCGGUCCGGUAAGUCCGCUCUGAAAGUCCGGGGCUCAACCCCGGGAGGCGGGCGGAUACUGUCGGGCUAGAGUCCGGAAGAGGCGAGUGGAAUUCCUGGUGUAGCGGUGAAAUGCGCAGAUAUCAGGAGGAACACCAAUGGCGAAGGCAGCUCGCUGGGACGGUACUGACGCUGAGGCGCGAAAGCGUGGGGAGCAAACAGG
rnacentral:rRNA from 1 species